rnacentral:lncRNA from 1 species
CAAUCUUCUUAGAAAUGACAAAGACAAGAGAAGAGUAGAAAAAAUGCCAGGAAUCUAUAGAAUCCCAACAAUAAAUAAUACAAACAAUAGAGAGGAGGCUUAUAUAGGCAUUACCAGAAGACGACUAAAGAUAAGAGUGCAAGAGCAUAAGAAGGAUAUAGCUGGAGGAAACUUGAGCACAAUGCUAGUGAGAAACACCUAUGAAAAUGACAUUAGAAUAAAUUGGCAUGAAGCGACCUUUUUUAUUUAAAAAGUAGAGAAGGAGAGGCAUGCUGCCAUGGUAGAAAUUCUGGAAAUUUUUUCUAGACAGGAAGAAGAGUGCCUCCUGAAUGACCAUCCUGUACAGGAACUACCUCCCCCCUGGAAGUACCUCUUAAGAAAAUCCCCCAUAUGCAAGACUAGAGUUAAUAUAAUUUUUAUUUAUUUAUUUAUUUUAUUUUUUCUUCUUGUUUUAUUAUGUAUUGGACAGUUAC